CCAGUAUCACAGACCAGGAGUCACUCCACGUCCCACCCCCGUCCCUAGUUGCCAACAACUCCCAGACAGCUGGGUAGGAACGGAGUGGGGAGGAGAAACACCUGGCUACGUAGGCUCUGUUGCGAGCGCGAGCGCGAGCGCCGCGCUGCUCCAGGCGCAUGCGUCGUCGGGGGGCGGAGCGAGGCACGAAGGGCCGCUCAGGGCGCAGGCCCAGAUCCCUGAGAGGUCGGCAAGGGUGGAUCCCUUCCUCAGAUGCCGGUUUUAUUCCCAACGUCGGGCCUCGGUUUUGUUUCCUCCUUUCGCGUCUUUCCCGGACCCGCGCCCUGUGGAGAGAUUCUCUUCCCCCUUUACCCCCUGUCCGGGCCGCAUCUGGCAGGAGGCUUCUCGGAAGCUGACACAUCAUCCCUAGGUACAAAGAAAUCAGAUUUCAGGAAGAUCAAUUCAAAUAUUUGUUUGGCAUUUAAAGGAAUUUUAAGAAAGAGACAGAGACAAAGCGUGAGCAGAUGAGGGCCAGAGAGAGAGGAGACACACAAUCCAAAGCAGGUUCCAGGCUCUGAGCUGUCAGCACAGACCCUGACACAGGGCUUGAACCCAUCAACUGUGCGAUCAUGACCUGAGCCAAAGUCGGAUGCCCAACGACCGAGCCACCCAGGCACCCCUGGAUUGUAUUGGAAGUGGGAAGCUUGGAGGCAGGAAGACCAGUCACUGGUUCAGGAAGGAGACAGUGGUGGCAUGAACAAAACGGGGGAUGAUUGGAGGAACAAGGAAAGAGAAAUGAAAGAACUUAAGAAAUGUUGAUGGGGUAGAAUCAACAGUUGUUGGGGAUCGAUUAGUGGAAGAAGUCAAGAGCAAAGUACAGUUUUAUGAUUUGGCAACAGGCUGAAAAGUGGGGAUUGAUUGGUGGAAGAAGUCAAGGCAAAGUACAGUUUUUGAUUUGGCAACAGGCUGAAAAAGUGGGGAAAAGACCCUGGAGGGAUGAAGAUCUUUGGUGUGGUCUAGGGUUGAGGAGGGGAAAAUCGUGAAUGCGAUGUUUAGACAUGUUUCAGUCUGAGGUAUCUUUUGAGAUGUUUAAGGGACCUGGAUAGGUGACUGGAUUUACAAAUCUGGAGCUCAGAGAAAAUAUACAUCAAAUAUACAUAUUUGUGGAUCAUCUAUAUGUAGGUGGUUUUUAAGAACCAAUGGGCAUGGAUGAGAUAGUCUAGAGAGAAAGCAUAGAGUGGGAAAAGAAGAGGAGCUAUGCUGUGCCUUAAGUAACUCCAACAUUGAAUAGUUAGAUAGAAGAGAAUAAUUCUACAAAAAAUUGAGAAGUGGCCAGGGAAAGAGGAGGGAAACUAGGGUACAGUGUCUCAAGAACAAGGAAGUUCUCCAUCAAAUUUGUUGCUGAAAUGAGAAUUGGAAAUGUCCAUUGAGUAAAAGAGUAACACGGAACUUAAAUUUUAUUGUUAACUAGAGCGGUUUAGAGAAGGGGGUAAAUCCCAGAUUGAAGUGGGUGGAGGAGGAAGUAGAAGGUGAGAAAAACAAAGCUAAUGAAUAUAGACUAUUCUUUAGAGCAGUUUGGCUGUGCAGUGAGGAGGGAGAGGCUAAUACAGAUGGUCCCUGACUUCCAAUGGUGUGACUAAGGAGUUUUUGACUUUAUAAUGGUGCUAAAACAGUAUGCAUUUAGUGGAAACCAAACAUCAGUUUGAAUUUUUAUCUUAUCCCAGGCUAAUAAUAUGUGGUCCAGUUCUGUCAUGAUGCUGGAUAGGGGCAGUGAGCCACAGCUCCUGGUCAGCCACACCAUCACAAGGGUAAAAAACUGAUACACUUACAACCAUCUCUACCCAUACAAUCACUGUGUUUCUUGCUUUCAAUACAGUAUUCAAUGAAUUACAUGAGAUAUUUAGCACUUUAUUACAAUAUAGGUUUUGUGGGAGAUAAUUUUGCCCAGCUGUAGGUUAAUGUAAGUGUUCUGAGAUUAUUUAAGGUAGGCUGGGCCAAGGUAUGGUGUUCAGUUCAUUAAGGGUAUUAAAUGCAUUUUUGACUUCCAGUAUUUUUGACCUGGGGUGGAUUUAACCCCAUUUUAAGUGGAAGAUCUGUAGUUGGAUAAUGAUAUGGGAACAAGGGAGAGUUUUUUCAAGAUGGGAGUAUACUGAGUAAGUUAAAAAGCCAAAGAGAAGGAUUCAAUCGAAGAGAAGUUUAGAGAGAGCGAAUACUAAAAGUAUACAGUUCUUGAAAAGGUAAGGGGAUAAAAUCCAAAGCUCUGAUAGUGGGGAGGCUGGCCACUAGGAGGCUGACUCAACAGGAGACAGAACAACCUCUAUCUGGUUAACACAAUAGAAGAAGGAAGACAGAAGGGGCGUCUGGGUGGCUCAGUCAGUUAAGCAUCCGACUCUUGGUUUCGACUCAGGUCAUGUUCCUGUGGCUUCAUGGGUCCAAGCCCUAUGUCAGGCUCUGCAGUGGCUGCGUGAAACCUGCUUGGGAUUGUCUCUCUCCCUCUCUCUUCUCUGCCCCUCUCCCAUUCAUGCUGUCUCUCUCUCUCUCUCUCUCUCUCUCUCUCUCUCUCUC